GGAUUGUGGCUCAGUGGUAGAGCUCUCAUCUAGCAUGGGCGAGGCCCUGGGUUCAGUCCUCAGCACCA
rnacentral:tRNA from 1 species